rnacentral:rRNA from 1 species
GGGAAGCCUGCUUCGAGAUGAGUAUUCCCACCUCCUUGAGAGGGUAAGGCUCCCAGUAGACGACUGGGUUGAUAGGCCGGAUCUGGAAGCCAGGUAACUGGUGGAGGUGACCGGUACUAAUAGGCCGAGGGCUUGUCCUCAGUUG